CCAGUUUUUAUAUUGAUUUGAUUUGAUGAUGGAAGCCCCUAACCAAUUCUAGUAUAGUAUGCAUAUAACAAGAAGCAAACUGUUGUUUAAAGUACUACUUUGUGAACAAGUUCAGUUGGGAUGAUGCAAAAGAAGAUUUCAUUGUUCAAAAUGGUAUGCUGCAUAUCAUCUUUUUUGGUCAAAUUGACAGGUAAUCAAUACGCCAGAAUACUACACAGAGAAUCAAAACUGCAGCAUUGACAAAUCUCCCACCCCCAACAAACUCCUUUUUAGUACUGAGGAAAAAAAACAAAACAAAAAAGUAAAUAUCGCACUCAAACGAGAGACACACAUUGGGAGAGGCCAAGUACUCACUCAUCAUAAACAUAUAAAUUAUAAUAAUUCCUUAUAACUUAACUGACUGGAUCAACC
rnacentral:lncRNA from 1 species